CUCUAAUCAAUGUUCUGCUAGUAAAUCUUGGGUCCCAGCAUUCAUAUGGAUGUUACUUGGACAUGUACCACCUACCUACCUACCACCUAACCUCCAAAUUCCUUAGAUCUCAAUCCGAUUGAGCAUCUGUGGGUUGUGCUGGAAUAACAUAUUCGAUCAAUGGAAGCCCUACCUUGCAACUUACAGGACUUAAGGGUUCUGCUGCUAAUGUCUUGGUGUUAAAUACCACAGGGCACAUUCAGAGGUCUUGGGGAUUCCAUGCCUCAACGCAUCAGAACUGUUUUGGUAGCAUGAGGGGGACCUUCAAGAUACUUGACAGUGGUCUUAAUAUUUAGGCUGAUCAGUGUAUCUUAUAAAGGUUAUAGGCACCACUCCUUUGGCAGUAC